CUUGGUCGAAACUUCAUGUUGCUGACAGAUCACGCACGUGCAUGUGGUUCUUCCAAUUUGAUCUGCGUUUGCUGAAGGUAGCUGUAGGGCCAUUAAGAAACUUUUAAUAAACUUUUUUAGCGGGAUAAUCGUUCGAUUUGCUUUUUACUUCGAACUAAACACUGUUUGCAAACAAUACGCGCGUUAUCAUGUGUAAAAUUGAAGUUUUCUUUUGGAUAAAACGGAAGCUUGCAUUGCAUUGUAGUAUGGUUACAAGAGAUGAUGGAUGAGCGGGGGAAUGCAAUGCCAAUAUCCUGUUGACAACAAUGGCCGAAAUCGUCUUGAAAUGAAUCAAAUUCCAGACCCUACGAGCGCUUGGAGUCCAUGGAACUAAAGUUGCAAGGAAUGAUGAAUGGCAAGGGGAAUGCAAUAUCAAUAUCCUGCUCACAACAAUUGCUGACAUCGCCAUGAUCAGUAUCAAAUUCUGAUAAAACGGAAACUUGCAUUUUACUGGGUUACGGAUGCACGAGGGAUGAUGGAUGGCAAGGGGAAUGCAUUGUCAACAAUUUCAAGAAUUCAUGAGUCGGAUUUUCAGUAAGUACAAACUCUAUUACUAUUGUACGCCGCUGGUUUAAGUAUUCAUGGAAUAAAAAUGGGAAUGAUGUGCUAAAUAA